rnacentral:rRNA from 1 species
CCUACGGGAGGCAGCAGUGGGGAAUUUUGGACAAUGGGCGAAAGCCUGAUCCAGCAAUGCCGCGUGAGUGAAGAAGGCCUUCGGGUUGUAAAGCUCUUUUGUCAGGGAAGAAACGGUGAGGGCUAAUAUCCCUUGCUAAUGACGGUACCUGAAGAAUAAGCACCGGCUAACUACGUGCCAGCAGCCGCGGUAAUACGUAGGGUGCAAGCGUUAAUCGGAAUUACUGGGCGUAAAGCGUGCGCAGGCGGUUUUGUAAGUCUGUCGUGAAAUCCCCGGGCUCAACCUGGGAAUUGCGAUGGAGACUGCAAGGCUAGAAUCUGGCAGAGGGGGGUAGAAUUCCACGUGCAGCAGUGAAAUGCGUAGAGAUGUGGAGGAACACCGAUGGCGAAGGCAGCCCCCUGGGUCAAGAUUGACGCUCAUGCACGAAAGCGUGGGGAGCAAACAGGAUUAGAUACCCUGGUAGUCCACGCCCUAAACGAUGUCUACUAGUUGUCGGGUUUUAAUUAACUUGGUAACGCAGCUAACGCGUGAAGUAGACCGCCUGGGGAUACGGUCGCAAGNUUAAAACUCAAAGGAAUUGACGG